AAUAGAUACCCAGGUAGUCCACGCCGUAAACGGUGGGCACUAGGUGUGGGCAACAUUCCACGUUGUCCGUGCCGCAGCUAACGCAUUAAGUGCCCCGCCUGGGGAGUACGGCCGCAAGGCUAAAACUCAAAGGAAUUGACGGGGGGCCCGCACAAGCGGCGGAGCAUGUGGCUUAAUUCGACGCAACGCGAAGAACCUUACCAAGGCUUGACAUACACCGGAAAGCAUCAGAGAUGGUGCCCCCCUUGUGGUCGGUGUACAGGUGGUGCAUGGCUGUCGUCAGCUCGUGUCGUGAGACGUUGGGUUAAGUCCCGCAACGAGCGCAACCCUUGUCCCGUGUUGCCAGCAGGCCCUUGUGGUGCUGGGGACUCACGGGAGACCGCCGGGGGUCAACUCGGAGGAAGGUGGGGACGACGUCAAGGUCAUCAUGCCCCUUAUGUCUUGGGCUGCACACGUGCUACAUGGCCGGUACAAUGAGCCGCGAUACCGCAAGGUGGAGCGAAUCUCAAAAAGCCGGUCUCAGUUCGGAUUGGGGUCUG
rnacentral:rRNA from 1 species